UACGGAGAGUGCAAGCGUUGCUCGGAUUUACUGGGCUUAAAGCGGGAGUAGGCGGUUGAGUGUAUUUAUUGUGAAAUUCUAUGGCCUAACCAUAGAAACGCAAUAAAUAUUACUCAACUAGAAUCAGCGGGAGGCAAGUGGAAUUCCGGGUGUAGGGGUGAAAUCCAUUGAUAUCCGGAAGAACACCGGAGGCGAAGGCGACUUGCUACCGUUGGAUUGACGCUGAGUCCCGAAAGCUAGGGGAGCAAACCGG
rnacentral:rRNA from 1 species